rnacentral:lncRNA from 1 species
GACUUCUGAAUCUGACAUAGAGUCUGACAGAGUGAGGACAGUUGGUAACUAAUUGCUGCAGAAGGAAGAAAGAAAGAAAAGGAGAGAGGAAGAAAAGGGGUGAAGAAUGAGGUUCCUCUGCAGCCAAAAUGACCCUGGGCAGCACUGCAGCAGAACACUCUUCACCACUCCAUCGCUUUCUCCCUCCCCACUCCCUGCCUUACACACCUCAGUUGGGAGUCAAAGGUGCGCUGGAACCCCUGAGGCCUCCUUUCCAUUUCCAUCUCAGGUCAACUCCAAAUAGGCCUUUACCUUUGGAUGAGUUCAGCAAAGGAACUGACUACAAAGAUUCCAAGACCUGAAAUCAGAAAACGGAUCCGGACCUCUCCGAACAGCUCCUCUCCUUGUCUGACUUGCUGGAUGGGUGGUGCCUCCUGCAACCCUUGGCUUCUGAGUCCUCAAAGGAGAGGGCUGUCCAGCAGACCUUGAGGACCCAGCCCGCAUUCACAGCGUGUUACUUCGGGUUUGUGUGUGGGAGCGCAGUGGGCAGUCGAAGGUUGGGUUCCCGUCUCAAAGCAAGGGAUGGAGGAAUCCCCAACCCCCUCCUAUCCCCCCAGGCCGGGGAGCGCCCAGGAGGUACAGCUCGUUCGGUGGGGGGCGGGGGUGGGGCCUGUCUCAGGGGCGGGGCCCGGGGCGCCUCCCUCCCGCGCUCCCCGCGCUCAGGCGCCGCGGAGCUGUCCAGCUUCAGUGCCGAUUCGGCAGCCUACGGCUGCACCGCGCCGCCUCCGCGCCGUUCCCGCGUUGCCUCCCGCCCCGCUCCCGGCCCCGCCCCGCCCCGCCCCGCCCCGCCGCGGCCGGUCCACUGCUCCCCGCGGGCCAGAGCCGGCCGAGCGGCUGCCCGCCGGGGCUCUGAGCGGCGCGGCGGGGCCGGGAGCCAGGGACCCGCCGAGGAGAGUGGCGGCCCCAGACGGCUGCCGGAGGGCCGGCCGCGCGUGGAUGCGGUGGGAGCUGGAAGCCUCGAGCAGCCGGCGCCGUCUCUGCCUCGGGGCGCCCUAUGGCUUGAAGGUGGACGCUGUCCUUGGUCCUGAACUUUCGUUCUCCUACGCGUUCUCUUUGGUUGACACCUAG